GUCAGUGGUGAAAGCCCAUCGCUCAACGGUGGAACGGCCAUUGAUACUGUUAGACUUGAAUUAUUAGGAAGUAACUAGAAUAUGUAGUGUAGCGGUGAAAUGCUUAGAGAUUACAUGGAAUACCAAUUGCGAAGGCAGGUUACUACUAAUGGAUUGACGCUGAUGGACGAAAGCGUGGGUAGCGAACAGGAUUAGAUACCCUGGUAGUCCACGCCGUAAACGAUGGAUACUAGCUGUUGGAAGCAAUUUCAGUGGCUAAGCGAAAGUGAUAAGUAUCCCACCUGGGGAGUACGUUCGCAAGAAUGAAACUCAAAGGAAUUGACGGGGGCCCGCACAAGCGGUGGAGCAUGUGGUUUAAUUCUAUGAUACGCGAGGAACCUUACCAAGGCUUAAAUGUAUAUUGACCGUUUUGGAAACAGAACUUUCGCAAGACAAUUUACAAGGUGCUGCAUGGUUGUCGUCAGCUCGUGCCGUGAGGUGUCAGGUUAAGUCCUAUAACGAGCGCAACCCCUGUUGUUAGUUGCCAGCGAGUCAAGUCGGGAACUCUAACAAGACUGCCGGUGCAAACUGUGAGGAAGGUGGGGAUGACGACAAAUCAUCACGGCCCUUACUCCUUGGGCUACACACGUGCUACAAUGGCCGGUACAGAGAGCAGCCACUGCGCGACCAGGAGCGAAUCUAUAAAACCGGUCACAGUUCGGAUCGGAGUCUGCAACUCGACUCCCUGAAGCUGGAAUCGCUAGUAAUCGGAUAUCAUCAUGAUCCGGUGAAUAAUUCCCGGGCCUUGUACACACCGCCCGUCAAGCCAUGGAAGCUGGUGGUGCCUGAAGUCGGUGACCGCAGGAGCUGCCUACUGUAAAAUGGUAACUAGGGCGAAGUCGUA
rnacentral:rRNA from 1 species